rnacentral:rRNA from 1 species
AUUGAACGCUGGCGGCAUGCCCUACACAUGCCAGUCGAACGGUAACAGGUCUUCGGAUGCUGACGAGUGGCGAACGGGUGAGUAAUACAUCGGAACGUGCCCAGACGUGGGGGAUAACGAGGCGAAAGCUUUGCUAAUACCGCAUACGAUCUAAGGAUGAAAGCAGGGGACCGCAAGGCCUUGCGCGUUUGGAGCGGCCGAUGGCAGAUUAGGUAGUUGGUGGGAUAAAAGCUUACCAAGCCGACGAUCUGUAGCUGGUCUGAGAGGACGACCAGCCACACUGGGACUGAGACACGGCCCAGACUCCUACGGGAGGCAGCAGUGGGGAAUUUUGGACAAUGGGCGAAAGCCUGAUCCAGCAAUGCCGCGUGCAGGAUGAAGGCCUUCGGGUUGUAAACUGCUUUUGUACGGAACGAAAAGGCUCUGGCUAAUACCUGGGGCACAUGACGGUACCGUAAGAAUAAGCACCGGCUAACUACGUG